AACGAACGCUGGCGGCAUGCUUAACACAUGCAAGUCGAACGUGAAAGUGGGCUUCGGCCCGCGAGUAAAGUGGCGCACGGGUGAGUAACACGUGGAUAAUCUACCCGAUGAUCUGGAAUAACACUUCGAAAGGGGUGCUAAUACCGGAUAAGCUCACGACGUCUUCGGACGAUGUGGGAAAAGGGGGCUUCGGCUCCUGUCAUCGGAUGAGUCCGCGGCCCAUUAGCUAGUUGGUAGGGUAAUGGCCUACCAAGGCGACGAUGGGUAGCUGGUCUGAGAGGCUGAUCAGCCACACUGGAACUGAGACACGGUCCAGACGCCUCCGGGCGGUAGAGGUGGGGAAUUUUGCGCCAUGGGCGACAGCCUGACGCAGCAAUGCCGCGUGAGUGAUGAAGGCCUUCGGGUCGUAAAGCUCUGUCAGAGGGGAAGAAACUCCUGCCGGUUAAUACCCGGCGGGCCUGACGGUACCCUCAAAGGAAGCACCGGCUAACUCCGUGCCAGCCGCCGCCGUAA
rnacentral:rRNA from 1 species